rnacentral:misc_RNA from 1 species
CCUUUAUCAAGUUAUAAAUUCUGGGGAGUAGUACUUAUUUGUAGAUGUUAGGGUUGCUGCUAAAGAUUUGCAUAUUAAAUGUGAACAGACAUGAAAAGUGAAUACGAAAUCAGGGCUUCUAUCUUAAAACUGGAGGAUGAAGAAUGGCAGCCAUAAGAGGGUUUGUUUCUAAUUAAUUAAUGUGACCAAGGUCCUUUUCCCCCCACCAUCAGACCAUAAUAUCUUCAAGACUGAUACGAGAGUGAACCAAAAAAGGCAAAUGGUAUGAUUCUUUUCCCACUGUCUUUUUUAUUGAUACGCUAAGAAGUCUGCAUAUUGACCACUCCAAUGUCCAAAGAUGGAAAUGGUUUCUAUCUAAAGCAAAACGAGAGAGAUUUUUGAGAGAAAAAAGAAAGCAAAAUGCAAUGAAUCUCUCAUCUGAUAAUAACUGAAGGCCUUGAUUGUUCUCCAGGCGAAUAUAUGACCACGCCAAAAUGAAAGCAAUUCGAAAACAUUUUAUCCUGAACAUUAUCUGAAAAGGAAAUUGAGAGAAUAAAGAAGUGAAGAGAACGUGUUGAAUCUCACGUCUGUUGAUAACCGGCGGCCUUGGAAGCUCAUCAUGAGUCACUCCUCGAGCGGGAACGCUAAAAUCAUUAACAUUGUUUUGACUGAUCAAGAAAUUUGGAGAUGGGUUUGGGAUCUCAUCCAGAAGAUUAUGUGAAGGAGAGAAAAAACUGUGACCCAAGUGAAACUGAUUAGCAGACGGCAAAAUCAACCCACGCAUGUUCACUGGGAGGAGGUUGGUGCAGUGACCGCAUCGAACAGU